UGCCCGGCUGUGGGCUGAGCCCUGGGGCACAGAACAGCCUCACAGGCUGUUAUCACAGAGCACACAGGACAGCAGAAGCAAGAGCCAAGCUGGAAACAGGGGCAUGGAAGCAAGUGGCCUCAUGGGAGAGGAUUUGGCCUGGAUCCUGAGAACAGACCACAGAAGCCCUCUCUGACAUGAAUCUGAACUCAGCAGCGCCCUCUGGAGGGUCUUCAGAGAUCAAUGUCACACCCUUUCCAGGUUGCUGCUGUCCCCUGCUCCCCACAUCAGUCCCUAUAUCUGAAGCACUGGUGUCAUGGUGGAUCACCUUCCAUGCAGGGUGCAAGGAAGACAUCGUAUCCACAGAACCGUGAGCUCUCUUCCUCUCCUGGUCGCCCUCUAUGCUUGUCCUAAGAUGGCUGUCUCCACGUUCCCCUCCCAAAUCCGUGCCCCAUUCUCACCCCUGUGACCCUCUCACCUCUCAGACCCUACUGCACUUUCUGGUCACUCUAGGAACCGCCAGGUUGUUAGUAUUCUGAGUUAGCCUCUCUCUAGGUUAUGAACUUGUCUAUACAAAGCAACGUCAUGCUUUGAGCCCUGAGCAUGUGGCCCACUGACCUGUGCCAGGAUGUGCCCAUGGGUGGCUAAGCCUAAUGGACACACAGGACUCCAAUACUGCCCCCAAGCAGUGCACAGACUCCUGGAUCCUCAGCUUCCCCAUCUCAGCCAAGAUUGGCCAAGGUCUUGGGGGUGCAGUGCCACAAUCCCACCCAGACCACCCUUGGUUGGGUAGAUAUCAGGAGACCUGUGCUCUCAGUUUGCCCAGGUUCCCUUUCUGGUAUAGACAUCUGUCUAAGUCUUUCUAGCGUUAGCAGACUAUGGUUCUUACCUGCCACACCCACAUCCCUGCUGCCUGAGGUCUAUACUGUACAGUCCCUGCCUUACUUCUGUUUCCCUGCUCUCUAUCAGAAGCUUUCACUGAGUGCUGCGCCCAGCCUGGGAGCUGUCUUUGCUUGCAGCUCAGACGCUCCUUGCUAUUAUCAAAAGAUGGGAGAUCCUUGCAACUCCAUGGUCUGACUCAAGGCUUUGGAAACCCCUUUCUCUUCUCUGCAGAACUCAGUCCCAGGAGGGAGAAAUGUGGAUGCUGGGAUGAGGUGGGGGCUGCUUUGCCAUGGGUUCAACACAACACUCAGUAUCAUUCAGGGUUAUUUCCCUCAUGCCGGGGACUUUCUGAGGCUCUCUCCUGACUGCCUUGUCUACCUCUCCAAUGACCCUAUACGCUAUCAUCACUCGGUAGAAGAGAAUUGAAGUUCAGUGGGUUUGAGUCAAUUCUCCAAGGCCACAAAGCUCAUUUGCCUUGGCAUGUCUUUCAUAGUCAUGCAUGCAGGUGACCCUGGGACAUUGGCAGCUUGCUUGGGUGUGGGUGUGAGGUAGCAAAGGGCCCUCCUGACUCCCCCAGAGGUACUUAACCUCACCGAUCUGACAACAGCCUGAGACACACAACUCACUCAUGGGGGCAGCAUGCAUGCUCACCGGGGCU